rnacentral:misc_RNA from 1 species
GUGAAUCAUCGAAUUUUUGAACGCAAAUUGCACUCUCCUCGGAGAGUAUGCCUGUUUGAGGGUCAGCCUAUAAAAAAUCGACAUCGUUGCUGUUUCGCGGUGGCGUUCGUCGGAAAUGGGGCAUUUUUAAUCCUUUUGAUUUUAAGCGAUUUAAAUUUUCCUUUUUGGUUCCAUGAACGUUUUUAAGAUUUAUUUCUUUACACUCUUAAGUUAUCGUUUUUUAUUAGACGUGACCACCAUAUC